UACGUAGGGGGCAAGCGUUGUCCGGAUUUAUUGGGCGUAAAGCGCUUGUAGGCGGCUUGUUAAGUCGCGUGUGAAAUCCCCAGGCUCAACCUGGGAAGUGCGCGCGAAACUGGCGAGCUUGAAUGCCGGAGAGGGUCGCGGAAUUCCCGGUGUAGAGGUGAAAUUCGUAGAUAUCGGGAGGAACACCAGUGGCGAAGGCGGCGACCUGGACGGACAUUGACGCUGAGACGCGAAAGCGUGGGGAGCAAACAGG
rnacentral:rRNA from 1 species